CUCCUCAUCCUUUCUACAGAGCAUUUAGUAGCAGUUGAGAGAAGGUAGAAAUUGGGGCAGAAAAAUAUACUGAAUUUGGAGUAGUUUGGCUGCAUCUGGGUGAUCCCAGGUGAAGAAGUAAUGGACAGUGAUGAAUGGCCCAAUCAAGCUAGGCCAGAAGUGGAUUGACCUAGCACCUGAGACACUACAUCCUGCUUCAGAAUUGUUCCCAUUCCAAGAGAGAGAUUAAACCAACUUCCUCAGAAGCCGUUAAAAUGCCACAAGAGGACAAGAAGUCAAGAGAAAUGGACCCCCAGAAAGCUCACCUCACUUUUGUGUUAUGAAGGUUGUCUUGGGAAAGUGUGAAUGGACGGGGUGGGAGGAAAAGGAAGGGUUUAAACCCCAACCUCACAAUGACUGGAAUCAGUGAUCAGGAGCACGAGGUGCAGGGACACAGUCCUCUGGCCUCGCUCCUCAGCUUCCACAGUUCACUGCGCUCUCCGUCAGCCUUACUUGUCCAAUGUUCCUCUUUUAGAGGUAGUUGAGACUAUAAAUUUUAAGCUGUUCUUUUCACAACCCUAGCAAAGAGGCGUUUGCCUUCUCUGGCCCUGAGGAUGGUUGGACAGGUCCCAAGACCACAGGUGAGAUACCUUCUGCUCCCCAAAUGUGUCAUGGGCAGUACAUAAUAAAAAGAUAAUUAACAUGCCAAACAUUUUUUUUUCUGGCCUGAAAUAAACAACAAAGUCUUAAGAUAUUGGCUCUGUGGGGUUAGAACAGAGGUUCUUACCAGCUUCAAGAUCUUUGAACGCUGGUUUCUGGAUGAGGAAGCUUUGGGUUCCGAGAUUCAGUUUUGAAAUUAUUACUUAAUCUGGUUGUUGUUUGUACAACAGUGACCCUCCACUAAAACAUGGGGAUGGGCAGAGAAAGGAUUAUGGAAAGGGUUUUUUUGCCCUUUUGGGGGACAAAACAAUACAUUUUGCUUCUUUGCCUCAACCUGAUAUUUCCUGGAAACAUUUGUUCAUAUUUGUCUAAGAAGGAAACAUGUGGACUUUAUAUCUGGCCAUUUCUUCCUUGAGGGAAUGCCGAAUGCUGCUACAGAGGAAAGUGAGAUUGGCAUUUCUAGAUUCACUUUUUAAAAAAACUAGUGUUAUAAUGCAAAUGACAAUUUGUAUCAUCCACAGUGACAAGUAUUCUACUGCACAGAAGCUACUCCACAGACAGCAACCUGUUUGGAGAGAACACACAUACCGGUAAAACACAUGCAGCUUGACUUUUGGCUUUCAAUAUUUCAUGCUUACCCUUUACAAAAGGCCAUCAAUGGUGACAGAGACAACAUACUUGAAAUAAUGGAUUGGCUGGCAAUUGCAAGACACGAAGAUAUUAAGUUGUUGCCACUUGUGCAGCUCUGACACACAUGAAUAUGUGAGAGAUUCUUGCUUAACACAUACUUGUUUUAAAUAGUUCCCAACAUCCUCAAAUACUCUCAGUCACUUCCUCAAACACAAGACAAUCUGAUACACACAGCGAGGACAUUUUUUUUCUAAAGACAUGCUAACUGUGAUAACCUUAGAAGUUCAACCCACCAGCUGAAAAGAGCCUACAAAUACUCCCAGUUUAGAGAAAGCAAAUCUUAACAGGCAAAUCUCCCAGAAAUUAGGCCCAUCAAAUACACAUUCAAGCAUCCAGAAUUUUUUUGAUUACAAACCAGCUGUGAAAUUUUCAGACCAUAUAAAAUGAACCAUAUAUCUUUUCAAAGCUACAUUUAAAUCCUUUCCAUUUCAAAUGAGUUUCAAGCACUUUAUUAAUAAAUGAUACAAUCCCAUGCAGUUACUACACUCUACUGGGGCUGAAAUUAAUCAUUUAUAUUAAGUACAGUGUAGCAUAACACAUUUAUACAAAUUCCGAAGAUUUUAAACUCCACAGAUCAAGAUAACAAAUGGCCUCUCCAGUCAAUGAGUGGAGCAGAAGCAAGCUCUCAUGUUAAAAUAAAAACUCUUUAGAUUGGAGAGGACUAGUCAUCUUGAUAAACCCUUGGUGCAAAAGGGGCUCCACUUGAUAUGCGGAACAAGGCAAAAAAGAUGGAUUCUCUUGCCCAAGUGACAGCUGUUCAUCCCUUCUCUGGCCUUGUUAAUCAUGUACCAGCUCAGGGAGAACACUGGCUU